CGGCGGCCGUAACUAUAACGGUCCUAAGGUAGCGAAAUUCCUUGUCGGGCAAGUUCCGACCUGCACGAAUGGCAUAAUGAUGGCCACACUGUCUCCUCCUGAGACUCAGUGAAGUUGAAAUGUUUGUGAUGAUGCAAUCUCCCCGCGGCUAGACGGAAAGACCCCAUGAACCUUUACUGCAGCUUUGCAUUGGACUUUGAACCGAUCUGUGUAGGAUAGGUGGGAGGCAGUGAAGCUAGGACGCCAGUCUUAGCGGAGCCAACCUUGAAAUACCACCCUGAUUUGUUUGAGGUUCUAACCUAGGAGCGUGAUCCGCUUCGGGGACCGUGCAUGGCAGGCAGUUUGACUGGGGCGGUCUCCUCCUAAAGGGUAACGGAGGAGUGCGAAGGUACGCUAGGUACGGUCGGAAAUCGUGCUGAUAGUGCAAUGGCAAAAGCGUGCUUGACUGCGAGACCGACAAGUCGAGCAGAUACGAAAGUAGGUCAUAGUGAUCCGGUGGCUCUGUAUGGAAGGGCCAUCGCUCAACGGAUAAAAGGUACUCUGGGGAUAACAGGCUGAUACCGCCCAAGAGUUCAUAUCGACGGCGGUGUUUGGCACCUCGAUGUCGGCUCAUCUCAUCCUGGGGCUGUAGCCGGUCCCAAGGGUAUGGCUGUUCGCCAUUUAAAGAGGUACGUGAGCUGGGUUUAAAACGUCGUGAGACAGUUUUGUCCCUAUCUGCCGUGGGCGUUGGAAGAUUGACGGGGGCUGCUCCUAGUACGAGAGGACCGGAGUGGACUCACCUCUGGUGUACCGGUUGUCACGCCAGUGGCAUCGCCGGGUAGCUAUGUGGGGAAAGGAUAACCGCUGAAAGCAUCUAAGCGGGAAACCUGCCUGAAGAUAAGUCUUCCUGGAGGCUAGACCUCCCUGAAGAGUCGUUCGAGACCAGGACGUUGAUAGGUUGGAUGUGCAAGCGCUGUGAGGCGUUGAGCUGACCAAUACUAAUUGCUCGUGAAGCUUGAUCCU
rnacentral:rRNA from 1 species